GGGGUUUUAAAGAACAAGGCAAUUUAUUAAAGUUUGAACUUUUGACCUUACAAGUCGCAUGAGCUAAUGAUGUGUCGAACAUCCUAUUAGGUGUUGUGGUGUGUUGUGUGACAAUGUUACAGGUAAAAUGCUGAACUGCGAGUGAAGGAAAACA